rnacentral:rRNA from 1 species
AUUGAACGCUGGCGGCAUGCCUAACACAUGCAAGUCGAACGGGGCAGCAAUGCCUAGUGGCGGACGGGUGAGGAAUACGUAGGAAUCCGCCCUUAAGUGGGGGAUAACCAGGGGAUACCCUGACUAAUACCGCAUGAUCUCUUCGGAGCAAAGAGGGGGACCGCAAGGCCUCUCGCUUCUGGAUGAGCCUACGUCUGAUUAGCUAGUUGGUAGGGUAAAGGCCUACCAAGGCGACGAUCAGUAACUGGUCUGAGAGGAUGAUCAGUCACACCGGAACUGAGACACGGUCCGGACUCCUACGGGAGGCAGCAGGAGGGAAAAUUAGACAAGGGGCGCAAGCCUGAUCCAGCAAUGCCGCGUGUGUGAAGAAGGCCUUCGGGUUGUAAAGCACUUUAGCCUGGAAAGAAAAAACUUUGGUUAACACCCAAAGUCUUGACGGUACCAGGAGAAUAAGCACCGGCUAACUCUGUGCCAGCCGCCGCAGUAAGAC